rnacentral:rRNA from 1 species
UACAGAGGGUGCAAGCGUUGUUCGGAAUUAUUGGGCGUAAAGGGCGCGUAGGCGGUGCGGUAAGUCUGCGGUGAAAUCUCCCGGCUCAACUGGGAGGGGUCUUCGGAUACUGGCGGACUUGAGGAGUGCAGAGGUGAGUGGAAUUCUCGGUGUAGUGGUGAAAUGCGUAGAUAUCGGGAGGAACACCUGAGGCGAAGGCGGGCUACUGGGCCGAUACUGACGCUGAGGCGCGAAAGCCAGGGGAGCAAACGGG